AAAACCUUAUUAUUUUCAUUCGUAUUUAAUUUUUUUUGCCAUUUUGGAAAAAUAUUUUGCAUGUCUCUUUAAUGGUGACGUCAUUCUGGUUCAGCCCGCGCUGCUUCCUCAGACCGCGGUGUGCGUGCUGAGUAGAGGUAAGCAGUUAGCGGUGCUCUUUUGGUAUAAGUUUUGAAAAGUUUUGAAAAGUUGAUUAAAGUUGUAAUAUGCGUUAAUAUUAUUAUUCACAGUUUUUUUGAUGUAUUAGCAAGCGUUUUGCAUAUAGCUGGGUUGGGUUUAGUGGGUUUGUUACCGUGUAUAGCUGCUCGGUAUGUGUGUGUGCCGACAGACCGAGAUGAUUCUAAAAUGGCUACUUUGGUUUGUACAGGUGAAGAAUCACAGACUACGGUUUAUUCUUGUGCUGUACUCUUUGGUUUGUGCAG